GACGAACGUUGGCGGCGUGCUUAACACAUGCAAGUCGAACGGAAAGGCCCUGCUUUUGUGGGGUGCUCGAGUGGCGAACGGGUGAGUAACACGUGAGUAACCUGCCCUUGACUUUGGGAUAACUUCAGGAAACUGGGGCUAAUACCGGAUAGGAGCUCCUGCUGCAUGGUGGGGGUUGGAAAGUUUCGGCGGUUGGGGAUGGACUCGCGGCUUAUCAGCUUGUUGGUGGGGUAGUGGCUUACCAAGGCUUUGACGGGUAGCCGGCCUGAGAGGGUGACCGGCCACAUUGGGACUGAGAUACGGCCCAGACUCCUACGGGAGGCAGCAGUGGGGAAUAUUGCACAAUGGGCGGAAGCCUGAUGCAGCAACGCCGCGUGCGGGAUGCCGGCCUUCGGGUUGUAAACCGCUUUCGCCUGUGACGAAGCGUGAGUGACGGUAAUGGGUAAAGAAGCACCGGCUAACUACGUGCCAGCAGCCGCGGUGAUACGUAGGGUGCGAGCGUUGUCCGGAUUUAUUGGGCGUAAAGGGCUCGUAGGUGGUUGAUCGCGUCGGAAGUGUAAUCUUGGGGCUUAACCCUGAGCGUGCUUUCGAUACGGGUUGACUUGAGGAAGGUAGGGGAGAAUGGAAUUCCUGGUGGAGCGGUGGAAUGCGCAGAUAUCAGGAGGAACACCAGUGGCGAAGGCGGUUCUCUGGGUCUUUCCUGACGCUGAGGAGCGAAAGCGUGGGGAGCGAACAGGCUUAGAUACCCUGGUAGUCCACGCUGUAAACGGUGGGUACUAGGUGUGGGGUCCAUUCCACGGGUUCCGUGCCGUAGCUAACGCUUUAAGUACCCCGCCUGGGGAGUACGGCCGCAAGGCUAAAACUCAAAGGAAUUGACGGGGCCCCGCACAAGCGGCGGAGCAUGCGGAUUAAUUCGAUGCAACGCGUAGAACCUUACCUGGGUUUGACAUGGAUCGGGAGUGCUCAGAGAUGGGUGUGCCUCUUUUGGGGUCGGUUCACAGGUGGUGCAUGGCUGUCGUCAGCUCGUGCCGUGAGAUGUUGGGUUAAGUCCCGCAACGAGCGCAACCCUUGUUCACUGUUGCCAGCACGUUAUGGUGGGGACUCAGUGGAGACCGCCGGGGUCAACUCGGAGGAAGGUGGGGAUGACGUCAAGUCAUCAUGCCCCUUAUGUCCAGGGCUUCACGCAUGCUACAAUGGCUGGUACAGAGAGUGGCGAGCCUGUGAGGGUGAGCGAAUCUCGGAAAGCCGGUCUCAGUUCGGAUUGGGGUCUGCAACUCGACCUCAUGAAGUCGGAGUCGCUAGUAAUCGCAGAUCAGCAACGCUGCGGUGAAUACGUUCCCGGGGCU
rnacentral:rRNA from 1 species